rnacentral:lncRNA from 1 species
GUUCUAGUUUAUAGUUAUAUUAAUCUUAAUCUUUUUCUACUAACUUCCCUUUAUAAUUUUAUAUAGGAUGAGUUGGAGGUGCUUACAUUUAUCAUUUAUUCCAUAAGACUACAAUCUAUCAAGAUGAGAUGUUAAACUAAAGAAGUGAACAUCACUCAGAGAUGGAUGCAGUGACUGGCAAAACCUUGGAGCCCCACUUCUGGAAUUUCACCUGAUUGCAACUGCGGACAUUAGACAGCAGGCAGCUAGCUGAUUCCAGGACUGUUGGUGCCCCUAGAGUUACACCAUUCAACUUACACAUCCCUGCUUUAAAAAUACACAGUAGGACAGAAGCAAAUCCACAGCAAGAGCAGUUCCUGAGCUUAAAAGAAGACAAGCAAAUGAGCACUCUUCACUGAUAGGCUGCCUGACCAAUAAAAUCUUAUUCUCCCUAAUGAAGGAGACA